CACCCCCCCAGGAAAAAGGCUGUCCUCCUUCUGAACAACCUUAACUGUGCUUUGGGUUGGUCCACUGAAGUGAAAUGCUCACCUUGUCCUGCAGAUGACAAAGCAAGCAGGGCACUGACUGCCUUGAGUUUACAACAUAGUUGAAAUGCAACGCAGCCAUCCACAUAUGUAGAAAAACAUCUCUGGGUUGGAGGAAAUCGGGACAGCCGACCCAAUACCACUCGCUUAUCUGUUAGUGAGAUCCACCUCUGUACAAUACAGAUCAUUAUUCCAAGACUCUGACCACCUUUUAAAAAAUGUUUUAACACUGUGUAUUGUCAGUCCCACGUUGGAGACGGCAGUGUAGCCUAGUGGUUAGAGUGUAGAGGUGGCAGGGUAGCCUAGUGGUUAGAGUGUAGAGACGGCAGGGUAGCCUAGUGGUUAGAGUGUAGAGGUGGCAGGGUAGCCUAGUGGUUAGAGUGUAGAGGAGGCAGUGUAGCCUAGUGGUUAGAGUGUAGAGACGGCAGGGUAGCCUAGUGGUUAGAGCGUAGAGGCGGCAGGGUAGCCUAGUGGUUAGAGUGUAGAGGGGGCAGUGUAGCCUAGUGGUUAGAGUGUAGAGGCGGCAGGGUAGCCUAGUGGUUAGAGUGUAGAGGGUGGCAGGGUAGCCUAGUGGUUAGAGUGUAGAGGGUGGCAGGGUAGCCUAGUGGUUAGAGUGUAGAGGGGGCAGGGUAGCCUAGUGGUUAGAGUGUAGAGAAGGCAGGGUAGCCUAGUGGUUAGAGUGUAGAGACGGCAGGGUAGCCUAGUGGUUAGAGUGUAGAGGUGGCAGGGUAGCCUAGUGGUUAGAGUGUAGAGACGGCAGGGUAGCCUAGUGGUUAGAGUGUAGAGGUGGCAGGGUAGCCUAGUGGUUAGUGUAGAGGAGGCAGGUAGCCUAGUGGUUAGAGUGUAGGGGCGGCAGGGUAGCCUAGUGGUUAGAGUGUAGAGACGGCAGGGUAGCCUAGUGGUUAGAGUGUAGAGGUGGCAGGGUAGCCUAGUGGUUAGAGUGUAGAGGGGGCAGGGUAGCCUAGUGGUUAGAGUGUAGAAACGGCAGGGUAGCCUAGUGGUUAGAGUGUAGAGGAGGCAGGGUAGCCUAGUGGUUAGAGUGUAGAGGGUGGCAGGGUAGCCUAGUGGUUAGAGUGUAGAGGUGGCAGGGUAGCCUAGUGGUUAGAGUGUAGAGGGGGCAGGGUAGCCUAGUGGUUAGAGUGUAGAGGAGGCAGGGUAGCCUAGUGGUUAGAGUGUAGAGGCGGCAGGGUAGCCUAGUGGUUAGAGUGUAGAGGCGGCAGGGUAGCCUAGUGGUUAGAGUGUAGAGGCGGCAGGGUAGCCUAGUGGUUAGAGUGUAGAGGCGGCAGGGUAGCCUAGUGGUUAGAGUGUAGAGGUGGCAGGGUAGCCUAGUGGUUAGAGUGUAGAGGGGGCAGGGUAGCCUAGUGGUUAGAGUGUAGAGGGUGGCAGGGUAGCCUAGUGGUUAGAGUGUAGAGGUGGCAGGGUAGCCUAGUGGUUAGAGUGUAGAGGGGGCAGGGUAGCCUAGUGGUUAGAGUGUAGAGGGUGGCAGGGUAGCCUAGUGGUUAGAGUGUAGAGGUGGCAGGGUAGCCUAGUGGUUAGAGUGUAGAGGAGGCAGGGUAGCCUAGUGGUUAGAGUGUAGAGGCGGCAGGGUAGCCUAGUGGUUAGAGUGUAGAGGCGGCAGGGUAGCCUAGUGGUUAGAGUGUAGAGGCGGCAGGGUAGCCUAGUGGUUAGAGUGUAGAGGUGGCAGGGUAGCCUAGUGGUUAGAGUGUAGAGGUGGCAGGGUAGCCUAGUGGUUAGAGUGUAGAGGGGCAGGGUAGCCUAGUGGUUAGAGUGUAGAGGGUGUCAGGGUAGCCUAGUGGUUAGAGUGUAGAGGAGGCAGGGUAGCCUAGUGGUUAGAGUGUAGAGGUGGCAGGGUAGCCUAGUGGUUAGAGUGUAGAGACGGCAGGGUAGCCUAGUGGUUAGAGUGUAGAGACGGCAGGGUAGCCUAGUGGUUAGAGUGUAGAGGUGGCAGGGUAGCCUAGUGGUUAGAGUGUAGAGGUGGCAGGGUAGCCUAGUGGUUAGAGUGUAGAGGUGGCAGGGUAGCCUAGUGGUUAGAGUGUAGAGGUGGCAGGGUAGCCUAGUGGUUAGAGUGUAGAGGCGGCAGGGUAGCCUAGUGGUUAGAGCGUUGGACUAGUAACCGGAAGGUUGCAAGUUCAAACCCCCGAGCUGACAAGGUCUAUCACAUGAUAAUUAUACAGAACAGAAACCAAUAUAAUAGUAUGUUACUGUAUGUUUUGUUAAGGCAAAAAAAAACAAUAAAAAAACACCUGAUUUCAGGACAACUGUUUAAAUGGUUGCAUUUCUCUCCCAUAACUCAAGUGUGCUACUAGACAACAACAAAAAACAAAAAGUGCUUUGAAACAAAAAAAAACAGAUUUGCUACAAUUUAUUAACACCUUCUUCCCUACAAGUCACUCACUGUGCGUCAUUCAAAACAGUACAUAGCUCAGAUCUAUAGAAACGCUAUACAUCCCAUGAGACUGAUGUUGCAUAGACGAGACGUCUCACUGGUAAAACUUGGAAGAAUUAUCCUUCAUGAAUGACAUUGAGAAAAGUCAAGAGAGGGUGACCACUUGUGCCCUAAAGUAGAGGUAAAAGAGACACAUGCGUUGGACAUGAUGUGGAUCUAUCCAGGGAGACGGGGUGGUUCCCCAAGGAUCUACAAGCCUAAAAACAAAUUGGCACAACAAGCCCCCUUGGUAUGUGAAUUGUUUUGAUGCUUACUGAAGAUCUACCUCAGAAUGAUUAGUUGGAUGUGAAGACACAUAUCUUGGGAAUGGACAACAUUGUCUAGCCUGGUCCCAGAUCUGUUUGUGUUGUCCCGCCAACUCCUAUGGUCAUUGCAUAGAACGCAUGUAUAUAUAUAAAAAAAAAAAAGGUCAUUGUCACGUUUGGCAAGACUGCACAAAACAGA